AAGACACGAAACUGCUGCUGCCGUUUGGGGUUCUCUGACCCAAAGGCUCCCUACCAAGCUACUGAGUGACAUCAGCUGGACACAAAAGCCCCUUUCCAAUCCUUUUCUCCCUUGCCAUCCUCUCCUUCUUGGUGGUGGUCUCCAGAACUGUAGCCUCUGUGGGGUUUCAUGGAGGACUCCUUCCAUCCAGCCCCGAAUCAUGCAAACCAGUCAAAGUGUCACCCAAAUCAAGUUCACUGUGUGCUGUUGUUGAUGGUGGGCAUAUCUUUUCCCUUGAACAGCCCCCAUACAAUUGGCAAACAAUCCUGAAUGGCCUUGCAUUGUUGGGGCUCAGAAUUUGGAACACCCCACUGUUGCUUUGGAGUGGCAUCUUGUUGCACGGCACUCCGUGCUUUUGUGAUCUUCUGGUGUGCCUCAUUAGCCAGGUCGAGAGAGCACGCACCAGCGUUUGAGUGAACCUAUGCCAUUAGAACUUGCCUUUGGGAUCAGAAGUGCCAGCUGCCCAGGGAAGGCGGUGAGCAUGCAUGCUUGGGUGACCAUUAGGAGAUACUGGACGUUUUAAGGCUUGUGGGCCUGAAAAGAAAAGGAAGAAAAGAGCAGACCUCUAUACUGAGGGUGGGCUGCCCAUCCACCAGAAUGGCUAUAGCAGCCUGCCUCAUCAAAGUUUGAACCUGGACACUUUGUGACUCAAGGCAGUAAGAAGUCGGUUUUGGACUUUUUUGGAGUGAGUGGUGGGGGAGAGAGAGACAGAGAGAGAGAGAAUUAUCCCAAGCAGGCUCCAUACUCAGUUUGGAGCCCAACAUGGAGUUUGAUCUCAACUAUGAGAUUCUGACUUGAACCAAAAUGAAGAGCUGGACACUUAACCAAUUGAGCCACCCAGGUGACAUACGAAAAAAUCACUUCCUCUAGUGCCUUGCCAUCAGGAAUGUUACUAAGCCAAUUCUAAUCUCAGCUGUCCUGCCAUGGUGCCUGUGUUACUCUAAUUCUCUCAGGAACUCCAUGACUCACGCUUUUCCGGUGUUGGCUUAUUAAACUGAAGUACUCUCAGGUGAAGGAUAUUUUGUUAUAUGUUAAAUGCUCACGGACACCUUCAGGAUUUUUUAAAGCGGGUAAGACCAAGGAGUUCUUACUUUAUAGUGUAUCUAUCAAAGGUUACCUUAAGAUGCCAUGUCAAAAAAUUCUAAUAAUUCUCAUGACUGGGCAGGCAUGAGAUUGGCUACCCUACAUAAUGAGUAAAGUCCCCUUCUUCACAGGGAAGUCAGGGAAAUUCUCUGAAGGUAUUUAAAGAAGCAGCCAGCUUAUUAAAAUCACAUCUCCUGUAUUAGAGUCUGGUUUAGCAAGAGGCCUCUCGUAACUACUACUCCUUUCUCUACAAUGAUAUGGUUCUUUUUAUUAACUUUCACAAUUAUUUUAACUUUUUAUGUUAUUAUACUUAUUCCUGUGCUUGCCUUAUUUACCUUUCAGGAGCGUCGUGUCUUUAGACAUAGUGUCUAGCACAGUAUUUUUCUUUUAAUAGUUAGGUUUGUUCCAAAGUCAAAAAUCUCGAAUUUAAAUUCUUUUAGAAAAUAGACUGAACUAAGAUUCUAGUGUGGCAGGUUGCAUUCCAGGUUUUUGUUUUUAGUUUGUACAAAAUGUAUGCAAAAUAAAAUAAUAGUUGUUUCACACUAAGGUCACAAAAUUAUUGGACCAAACUUUCGUUGAAGUUUGCCACUACUUUUACUCUAUACGAAGAAUUAUUUAUGAAUAUCUUGUAUUCCUGCCUUUUGUUGUUUACAACUACUGAGACUAGUGGAGCCAAAUAAUACAGGAAAGCAUUUAACAAAGAUGCUUCUUUGUAAAUUUUUUAGAUGUUCACCUUCCCAUGAUUUACAAAGGCAGUAGCAGUUGUUGCCUCAGGGGAAACAAAUACAGCAUGGAGCAAAAAAUAUCACAGAUCACUUUUGAAUUUCAAAUUAAACUUUUUACAGGUCGGUAGUGAAAAGUUAGUCUUAUGAGCUACCGUUUUAUGCAUAAGUCUGCCUUUUUGAAAAAUAAAAAUACUUGCUGAGCUCAAAGUUGAAGCCGGGAGGACUACAAACGAUAGAGUGAACCUACAAGUGGUCAUACAGUCUCUCCUGGAUUUCGAGUGGCAGGUUUGGCACAAUUUAGUGAGACUAGUGUAUAGUCAUAGCUAGGUGCUGAAAAGAUAUCUUUCUGUGCCUUGCCCUCUCCUGGGGUCAAAAUUCUUCUCAGGGGGUCAUUAAAACCCCUUACAUUUGUUUGGGAUUUCCAGAGCAGUGGGACCUUUGCUGAAUUUGUGCCAAUGUCAGUGUGGAAGAAGUCUUGAUCUCUCUGUGAAAUGGCCAAGGUAGCAUGGAAGUAACACCUGGGGCAUUAGGCAGAGGGGGAUCCGAGAGACUCCUAUCUGCCUGGUUUUCCCAGGCUCAGUCAGCGUCUACUCCAUCUGCUAAGUUUCCCUUUUCUUUCAGGAAUAAGGCAACCAUUGUGUCAGAAUUAUAAUUGUUAUAAUAUCAGUAUGAAAUUUUGAUAUUGGGGGAAUACUUAUUUGACAAAUUCAUUUUCUGUAUCUUCUUUCUAAAAAUUCUAAUAAAUUAACCUUUAGUUUUAUGUAAAUGCCAAUCAAUGAAUGCCUAUGUCUAUUACAAGAUAUUUGGUUUGUUACAAUUAUAGCAUUAUUGUAAAUAAAUAUGAGCUAUGACCCUGGCAAACAUUCCACAAAAUCUAAGUGAUGACGUUUUUAAUUUUUUUAUUAAAGUUUUUAAGAUGAAAACAAAAUGAAAAAGAGAGCCAAUUCAUAAAGAAACACUUAAAAACAUUUUUUUAAGUGAAAGAACACAUGUAGAUAACGUGCAUUUGCACUGGUAAUGCUUUCUAAGAGGGCCGCAGGAGUAACAAUUACUAGAAGAACAUGCCGUUUUCAGUCAGGUAAGGAUUUGUACGUUAUUGUUAGAUUCUUCAUAAGCAUUAAUUAUUUAAUUGAAAAUAUAUCCAAAAUAAUGUAUUUCUUCCAUGCUUAUGGCUAAAUAUAUCUAGAGUACUAAACAGACUAGGAAACUCUAAAUAACUCACCCUCACAGCCCUUUGAUUUGACAUUUGACUCUGAUUCCAUAAGUAACUGAAGCAGGAAUCAGCCUCUUAAACAAAAGGCCAUCUUAGACUGGAAUGAAGAGCAUCCCUUGUUAAAAGGGAAGGCAAAAACCAAACAAGCAAAUGCACCUGACAGGGAUGAUCUCGAUUUGAUAGUGACAAAACAAUUCAAUCACAUUCUCUCUGUUUGGGAGUUUUAAAUGUAAUACCCAGAGAGAAAGCGUAGAAACAGAGGCAGUAGAAUCAGUACUGAGCGGAGGAGGAGAAAUAAAGAGACAGACAGAGGGCAGAGCUGAGUGGUUACGAUGGAGCUGUCACUAGAGCAGAAAUGUCAAUUUGAUACCCGAACCCAGGUUAUUAGUACAGCCUGCAGCUGUAAUUCCUGGAAAAUGUCCUUGCCUCCUAUUUUUUUGUGCAUUCUCCCUGCAAUGAACCAUUAUGAGAGAGAACUUGGGAAUGAUUAUUGCUCCUAUCUUGAACUAAACUAUUUUAUUUAUACCUUCAGAAAUAUUAUUAGAAUUUAAGCCACAGGGUAAAUGUUAAAAUCAGAAUAAUUAAGAGAUCUUUUCCACCAAAAAGAAUAGUGUCGCAGAUGAAAUAAAAUAUAGUCAUUCCACAGUAUGAUACUGCCUAGUAGUUGUAGAGAUCAUAUAAAAUCUCAUACAACUUAGUUUUCUAUAGCAAUUUUGUUCAAAAUAAAUAUUAGUUAUGUUUGAGAAGAGUCUUGUAGUGCUAACUAGGCAAUAUUUUUUUCUCCUUCAUUGUGUGUGAAGCAUUUUAAUAAUAUGAUAGAUUACCCAAAAGCUGUAGAAAUAUUGACAACAAAUUAUAGUCUCUGCAAAUAGGUCAUAUCUAAACUUUAAUCUUAAUUACAAAGUCAUAUUUUAAACCAAGUGUUAGAGUAAAUGUUAACAACAUUUGAAUUAAGAAAUCAAAAUGUGGGGGUGCCUGGGUGGCUCAGUCUGUUAAGUGUCCGACUUCGGCUCAGGUCAUGAUCUCACAGUCAGUAAGUUUGGGUCCCGCAUUGGCCUCUGUGCUGACAGCUCAGAGCCUGGAGCCUGUUUCAGAUUCUGUGUCUCCUUCUCUCUCUGCUCCUCCCCCACUCAUGCUCUCUCUCUCUCUCUCUGUCUCUCAAAGAUGAAUAAAUGUUAAAAAAAAUGUUUAAUGAAAAAAAAAAGAAAUCAGAAUGUAGUAGCAAUUUUUUUCUUUUAAUGAAGCUGUGUUUCCAUGUUUUCUUUCUUAUACUUUCAUGAUGAUGUGACAGAGCACCUGGGAAGAGGCACUGUUUCUCCAUAAAGACCAGAUUGGUGCAUAGCCCACACUUUCCUUACAGAAUAAUUCCUUGAACGGCCGUUUUUCUGGUUGUGCAAAUGUAAAGCAAGUAAACACUCAUUUCUGUAGAGAAUAGAAUUCUUGGAUUGCCAUGCUAAACACUAAACACUAAAUUAUGAUCACCUUUGGAACAUGGUCAAGGAGCCUCUUAGGAGGAAAGUAAUUGAGAUCAGGACCUCUUUCCCCCAAUAUUCUUGGGACAUCUGUAAUAGGAUGGGAAGCUUCUAAGUCAUGUCUUCUGGAAAGAAAAUUAUCCAAAUUCUUAACAGAAUUCACUUUGAGGGAAGUGCAGGCCUUUGUUGGUGGCUAUGUAAACUCGAUGGUCUGACUAUUUAUGUAGUGGGUUGUCACAGUGUAUAGCUGAAGUUAUAAGCCACUGGGCACAACCACUUUUGGUUGGCAUUAUAUUAUUCUUUAGAUACUAUGCCUUAGCAGGUGAGGGUGAACUGAAUGAGCUGUUACUUGGAACUCCAACCCAGUCUCAGAAUAUCUUCUUAAAGUACAAUCGUUAAGUGUCACUGGACUUAUGAGGCUAGUUUUCAUCAUUUGUGAGGAUAGGUUUAUAUGCAUCUCUGACCUUACUAUGAUACUCUAUAAUAUGUUGAUUUUUAAAAAGAACUUGUAAUCAGAUUUUUUAAAAACAUAGAAGUUGAUGUAAAAAUAUUGACGAAUCAAAAUAAUUGCAUGAAUAAAUUUAAAAUUAUAAGUGAGUGUAUUUAAAAUUUAUUUAAAAAAUCUUAAUUGCUUUCAACACUAUAUCUAGUAGAAUGAUAGUGUCAUUAACUUCAAUGUCUCUUACUUAUUUGCUUAAUUUUAAAUAAAUUAUAAGAAGACAUGAAAAUAAAUGCUGUUUCCCCAUCUAAAUAAGUAUUACUUUUUCCAGUUGAAGAUUAAAUAUAAUUUUGGUUGAACAAUCAUUUAAAUCACCUUAAUUCUCUUAGUAAAAUCCCUUUGAGUUGUGUAUACAAUGCUUAGAGUGAUGGUACACUGGAAAAAAUACUAUAAAUGGCAAACAUUAUGUUACUUUAUGGAUACACAAUUUUUUAUUCCAUUUAUUCCAUCUGCAAAAAUGUAUUGAGCCCCUACUACAUGUCGGUGUAGUUCUAGGCCUUGUAUAUACAAGUGUGAACAAAACAAAGUCUUUGACCUCAUAGAGCCUAAAUCUAAUUGGAAGGGAGGCAGCAAAAUAAUUAGAUAACAUCAGAUGGUGAUAAGUAUCUGAAAGAAAGAUAAGAGAGUGAGGGCAUGGAAUAUGGAAAUGAUUGCUAUUUUAUAUAAGCUGGUCAGGGAGGAGCUCUCUCAAAAAGUGACCCAUUUUCACAGGCACCUGAAGAAAGUGAGAAUGGCCCUGGGGCAGAAGUGUGUUUGAUGUAGUCCAGGUAUAGCAAGAAGGGCAAUGUGGAUAUUUUGGAAUAACACUGGGAUGUUAUUAUAGACAGCGAGACCCAAGAGUUAGUCCAAGGUCAGAGCAUGGAUUCCCAUGUCCACAAUGGUUUUUACUUUGGCUUUUACUCCCUGAGAGGAGGGAGGCCAUUUGGAAGUUUUGGGCAGAGGAGGAACUUCUAGAUUUAACAAGUAAAAACCACAGGCUACCCAGUUAAAUUUCAAAUUCAGAUAAACAAUGGAUACAUUUAAAGAAUAAAUAGGUCCCCAAUAUUAUAUGGGAUGUACUUAUGGUAAAACAUUAUUCAUUAUCUGAAAUUCAAAUGAACAAUGUAUCCUGUAUUUUAAAGAAAUUCUCUUACGGCUAUGAGGUAAGUAAACUUUUCUGGUAGGGCAGAAAGAGAAGUUGGAAGAAACUGUUUGAAUAGAUUCAAAUACAUUCACUCAUCAGUAACCUAAAUCUGCUCUAUAAAAAUAGUUUAUAGCUUGGUGGAAUAAGUACAUGGGAAGAUAGGUGACUUGUGUUCUUUCUGUAAUUACCUGCUUUGCUCAACUUCCUUUGGAAAUCAGUAAAGUAUCUCUAAAGUAGAUACAAAUUAUUUCAUUAGAAAAAUAAGAUAAUCUUCUAUAAAAAUAGAUAUUAAGUUUUAAAAAGUAAAAAAUAGACCAAAAAAGUUAGGAUUUAGAAGACUUGAACAAUUAUAAUGAAUCAUUUUGACCUAAUGGACAAAUCAGACCACUAUACCUAAGAACUCUAGAUUAUACAUUAUUUUUCAAACCGACAAAGUACAUUUGCAAACACUGUAAAUAUGGCAUACAAACAUACUAGUCCAAAAAAGCAAAUCACAAAAACCUUCAACAGUGAAAUCAAAGUAUAUUUUUUGAAUACAGUACAAAUUAUAUUAUAAAUCAGUGGCAAACUAUAAAUAAUAUAUCCUCCAUAUGUUUGGAUAUUACAAAGAACAUGAAUGUAUUAAGAAAAACAUUUUAGGGGCACCAGGGUGGCUCAGUUGGUUAAAUGUCCAACUUUUGAUUUCUGCUCGGGUCAUGAUCUAACAGAUAGAGCCAAUGUUGGGCUCUGCGCUGGGCAUGGAGACUACUUAGGAUUCUCUUUCCCUCUCUCUCUGUCCUUCCUCCACUCUCUCUCUUUCUCCUUCUCAAAAAAAAAAAUUUAAAAAUGUUUUAAUGGAUAACAAAAUAAUGCAUACCAAAUCUUAUUUGAAAUAACUAAAGCAGCAUUUUGAGAAAUUUAUAAUUUUAAAUGUAUAACUUAGAAAUCAAGUAUUACUUCAAAAGGUUGCAAAACAGAUCCAAAAAGUAGACAGAAGAAAACUUUAAGAGAAAAAUAAACAGGGGCACCAGGAUGGUUCAUUCGGCUAAGCAUCUGACUCUUGAUUUUGGCUCAGGUCAUGAUCUCAGGGUGUGUGAGACUGGGCCUUGUUGGGCUCAGCACUGAGCAGGGAGCCUGCUUGGGAUUCUCUCUCUCUUCUCCUUCUGCCCCUCCCCCAGCUCAGGUUCUCUCUUUCUCUCUCAAAAUAAAUACAUAAGCAUAAAAAUGGAGAAAAAUAAGUAGAAAACAUACAUGCAACAAAAAGUUCAACAAAGGCAAAAAAAUGUUUCUUUGAAAUGAAUAGUACAAUUGACAAAACAGUGGCUACUUAUGAAGAGACAAAAAAGAGAGAAAAGGUAUAAAUAUUAGCAAUGAAAAAGAGUGGUUGACUACAGGUGGAAUAGAGUUUAAAUAGACCAUAUAAAGAAAUAUUAUAAACAAUCUAAUAGCAAUACAUUUGAAAAUAGAUAUGAAAUGAACAACUUGUCAGAACUGACUGGAAUAAAAAAUUAAAUGAGUAUUCUAUAUUUUUUAAAAUAUUGAAUGCCAUCAAUAUUUUUCUACAAGUAAACCCCAAGGUCAUGACAACUUAACUUUUUUAUAACUGAACAAAUAAGAAAGGAAUAUUUUUAAUAUUAUAGAAGAUCUUCUAGAAAAUAGAACAAGAAAGCUUACCUCAUUUCAUGAGACUGGAAAACCUUGACACUCAACUCUGAUAAGAAAGGAGAAUUACUAGCCAAUUUCAUAUAAAACAUAGGUGUAAAAAUUCUCAAAAAUAAUUGCAAGCCAAAAUCAGAAAAUACAUGAAUAGGAAAAUAUAUCUUGAACAAAUUUGAUGUAUCUCAGGGAAUGCAAGUUUCAUUGGACAUUAAAAAUCAAACAAUGUAAGUCAAUAUCUCAACUGAUUAAAAAAUAAAACAAUGUGUUCACCUUAGUAGAAGCAGAAAUAAUAUUUACAAAAAUUCAGCAUUCAUUCAUUAUAAAAAGAGUAACGACCUCAUGAUCUUUUAGCAAAGUAAAUAGAGGAGAACUUCUUUAAUCUGGCAAAGGCUAACCAGAAAACAAAAUUUAACAAAAAAAAAAAAAACCCACAGCAGACCAUUUUACUUUCUCUUUUUUUCUUCA